rnacentral:rRNA from 1 species
GAUGAACGCUGGCGGCGUGCUUAACACAUGCAAGUCGAACGGAAAGGCCCUGCUCUUGUGGGUUGCUCGAUUGGCGAACGGGUGAGUAACACGUGAGUAACCCGCCCUUGACUUUGGGAUAACUUCAGGAAACUGGGGCUAUUACCGGAUAGGAGCUCCUGCUGCACGGUGGGCGUUGGAAAGUUUCGGCGGUUGGGGAUGGACUCGCGGCUUAUCAGCUUGUUGGUGGGGUAGUGGCUGACCAAGCCUUUGACGGGUAGCCCGCCUGGGAGGGGGACCGGCGACCAUGGGCCUGCGGUACGGCCCAGAAGCCUACGGGAGGCAGCAGGGGGGAGUAUUGCGCAGUGAGCGGAAGCGUGAUGCAGCAACGCCGCGUGCGGGAUGACGGCUUUCGGGUUGUAAACCGCUUUCGCCGGUGACGAGGCGUGAGUGACGGUAAUGGGUAAAGAAGCACCGGCUAACUACGUG